GUAGGGGGCAAGCGUUAUCCGGAUUUACUGGGUGUAAAGGGAGCGUAGACGGCUGUGCAAGUCUGAAGUGAAAGGCAUGGGCUCAACCUGUGGACUGCUUUGGAAACUGUGCAGCUAGAGUGUCGGAGAGGUAAGUGGAAUUCCUAGUGUAGCGGUGAAAUGCGUAGAUAUUAGGAGGAACACCAGUGGCGAAGGCGGAUUGCUGGACGAUAACUGACGGUGAGGCGCGAAAGUGUGGGGAGCAAACAGGAUUAGAUACCCUGGUAGUCCACACUGUAAACGAUGAAUACUAGGUGUGCGGGGACUGACCCCCUGCGUGCCGCAGUAAACACAAUAAGUAUUCCACCUGGGGAGUACGAUCGCAAGGUUGAAACUCAA
rnacentral:rRNA from 1 species